UUUAUUUGUUGAUAGUUCAGCAGAGUAACAAGAUGGUUUCUGCAAGGAAAUGUGAAGGCAAAGGGAGUUUUAAGUAGAAGAUACUGGAAUAUGUCGUAUGCAGUUAGGAAUGAUUCAGAAGAGAGAGGAAGAAAUUAGGAUUCAGAAUAAAAGGGCAGAGUUAAUAAAGGAAAUUUCUGGCUAAGACAAGAGGAAACAUCUGUGAGACAGAGAGAAAAGGGGCUGUUUCAGAGGAGCAGGGAAGGGAAGCAGGUGGCAAGAGUCAUGGAAGUACAUGAUUGGACAGGUUUUGUGAAAAAGAGAGAUACGAAAUGACUACUUUAAAAAUGGUAAUGCAAACCA
rnacentral:lncRNA from 1 species